rnacentral:tRNA from 1 species
GGAUCCGUGGCGCAGUAUGGAUAGCGCAUCUGCCUCCUAAGCAGAGGGUCGCCGGUUCAAAUCCGGCCGGAUCCGCCA